GUGCCAGCCGCCGCGGUAAUACGAAGGGGGCAAGCGUUGCUCGGAAUAACUGGGCGUAAAGGGCGCGUAGGCGGUUAAAAUAGUUAGAUGUGAAAUCCCUGAGCUUAACUUAGGAACUGCAUUUAAUACGUUUUAACUAGAGUAAGAGAGGAUUAUGGAAUUUCCAGUGUAGAGGUGAAAUUCGUAGAUAUUGGAAAGAACACCAGUUGCGAAGGCGAUAAUCUGGCUUGAUACUGACGCUGAGGCGCGAAAGCGUGGGGAGCAAACAGGAUUAGAUACCCCAGUAGUCC
rnacentral:rRNA from 1 species